UACGUAGGGUCCGAGCGUUGUCCGGAAUUAUUGGGCGUAAAGAGCUCGUAGGCGGUUUGUCGCGUCUGCUGUGAAAUCCCGAGGCUCAACCUCGGGCCUGCAGUGGGUACGGGCAGACUUGAGUGGUGUAGGGGAGACUGGAAUUCCUGGUGUAGCGGUGGAAUGCGCAGAUAUCAGGAGGAACACCGAUGGCGAAGGCAGGUCUCUGGGCACUUACUGACGCUGAGGAGCGAAAGCGUGGGGGGCGAACAGG
rnacentral:rRNA from 1 species